GUUUCAGUUUUACCUGAGGGAGAUAAGACAAUUUGAUCCAUUUAAAAACAAACACCAGGAUGGCGACCUGCCGUCUUUCCCCCCCUUUAUACAAUAUGAUGCAGAUAUUAGUGGGAACAGAAGAAAAAAUAGCCAUGAGACGAACUGAGAUGGACAUCUGUGAUUAUCUGUACAAUCAAAUGACUACUGUUUCUGUGCAUAGAAGAACUGUUGGCAGUGUGAAAGAAGGUUUACGAAUGAAAAGUUCAGAUAUGGAUACUUUGCAUUUUAUGACUGACCAACAUGUUGUUGGGGACCUAACAGACGCCCCCAGUUAUGAUCCAGCCACUGAAACUGUAAUUCUGAUGGAGUACCAAGAACACAUCCCUGGGACAGUUUAUCUACGUCUCAUACACAUGCAUGCCUCCAUUAAAGGGAUAAGUACAAAGUCCUGCAUCCAAAAGAACUCUCACACGUACCUAAGCAGUGAGCUGUUCUUAGAGAAUGUCCGGUCUAUUUCCAAUGGUCACAAUGUGACUAAACAUGGCCCAUGCCAAACUAGUACAUUUGCUGAGAUUAAAUAUGAUGAGGCAGUUGGUUUUGCAGGUAGAAAAUGGCCCCUGCAAGCCAAUGACUGGAUUACAAGAUGUCUCAAGUUUGGGUGGCCCGAGAAACAAAUCGUUGAGAGCAUUAUAUCCUCUGGAUGUGACUUCGUGCCAAUCGGCAGUAGACAGUCUCGCCAAGACAUUGACCCAAAUCUGGACUUGGAAUCUCUCAUUUGUUCAAGCAGAGCAGGCAUUAUUAGUGCGUGUUGUGAACCAUUCCCAAUUUCUUUGUUAUGUUUUACUUAAAAUAUUUCUUAAAGAAGUUCUCAACAAAGAUGCAAAGGAAGAGGAGAAACUUCUCUGUUCUUAUUUCCUGAAAACUGCAAUGUUUUGGUGCAUUCAAACUGAUCCCACAUAUAAAUGGUCCAGAGAAACCUUCUUUCAGGGUUUCUGGAAAUGUUACAAGUUGUUGCUGAAGUGGGUCUACACAGGAUAUUGCCCAAACUUCUUCAUACCACAGAACAAUCUGUUUGUCUGUAAGAUUGUAGGAGCUGAUCAGGAGAGGCUGUUCACACAAAUGUACGACCUCUACUGCUCCGGAGAAAGAUGCCUUGCCAAGUGCUCAUCUCUUCGGAAACUCAUGAACAAAUAUCUUGUCGAUCCCCGGGCAUGUGAAAUAUCAGCAUACAUCAGUUUAGUUGAAUAUCAUCAUGACGCUUUGGUCUACAUUGCAAUGCAAAGCAUCAAUGCGCUUCUUAAUCAGGAGCUCAGGUACGACUGGAAAUCAUUGUACAAUGUCUGCCACAUGGAUGUUUCAAAUUUGUCAAACUUUGAACAAAUUCUGAUUACAAGACAUGUUAUUAAUCUUUAUCAUCAAAUAGCAUUUGUGGAGCAAUGCUAUUGUCACUGUAAAACAAAAUGCAACAGGAAUAGGCAGACUUAUGAAAAACAUAAAAAGGUCGGGGUUACACUGCUUCGGCUUACAUCAGAGUUUGGCUGUGCAUCUGACCCUUUGUAUUUAGCAUUAUUUCAUUAUAUUGAUGGAAAAUUCAGACAUUCUUUGAACAUUUUGGAGAAAAUCAAACCAAAACUGUAUCAAGAUUACAUUUUCUACUGGACUGAAUAUAGAAAUAAACAACCUUAUGAAAGAGAAAUGUUAGGCAAACCAAUGUCAGUCAAAAUGAAAGCAGCUAUGGCGUUUGAUAUAACUAUACUACUUUCCACAGAAUUCUCCGAGUUGGACAUUGAGCUUAAGGAAUCCAGAUCAAAGAAUUGUUUAAUCAUUUCUCCGUUUGUGCUUCUGCACUUCCUGACCUUUCUGUGUCAUCAUCACCUAGCCAGUCCUCUGGCUGCCCCGUCCCUGAGAGAGCUACACACCCUAGUCCAUGCUGACAAUGACAACUACAUUGUCUUUUACACAAGAAAUAUUGCCUGGGACAUCCUCGGCAUUUGUCACCAUCUGUUGGGGAAUCUAGACCAGGCCUUGCUUGCCUACUAUACCUCCCUACAACAACCUACAUUCAAUAUCAUCACUGAGGCCGUAAAGAUGAGAAUACUACCGCUUCAAAUUGAGCUUCAAGUUCAGAACAAGUCUUGAAAUAUGAGAAUUACAUGUUGUAAAAACCAUUUGUAAAUGAACACAAUUGAAAAUGUGACAGACUCCAUUAAAACAACAUUGAAUUCACUGGUAAAAACAGCAUUAAUCCAUUGAUUGACUUAUGAUUUUGUUAGGUUCUUAUUUUGUAUGAAUGUUAAUAAUCUAAAGAAACUGUUUUAAAAUAUGAAAUAAC
rnacentral:sRNA from 1 species